AGGCAUGUACAGUCAAUGGUAGACGGUCACCCUUACAAGGUGAAGGUUGUGGGUUCGAGUCCCACCGUGCCUA
rnacentral:tRNA from 1 species